UACGGCCACAUCACGUUGAAACAUUAAUUUCCGUACGAUCACCAAAGUUGAGCAACGUCGAGCCUGGUCAGUACCUAGAUGGGCGACCGCUUGAGAAUACCAGGUACUGUAA